AGGCCGACAAUGAAUACAACUUACACUCUAGUGGCUGUCAUCGUCCAUGUUGGCGAGGUUGAGAAUGGACAUUAUGUUACUUUCAGAAAAGCGAACGAGAACUGGCACCUAGUGUCAGAUGAGAUGACAAGAACUGUCCCGCUAUCACACGUGCUAAAGUCCAAUCCGUACAUGUUAUUUUACCAAAGAACUUUGUUAAAGUGAGACAUAUAUUGUUAUGUUAACAGGAGAAGCUGAUCAACUAUAUUCUGUAGGUAAGAUUAUAUAUUUGGAUACUUAUAUAGUAUAAAAUAUUCUAUUUAUUACCACC